rnacentral:rRNA from 1 species
CCAGACUCCUACGGGAGGCAGCAGUGGGGAAUAUUGCACAAUGGGGGGAGCCCUGAUGCAGCAAUGCCGCGUGGGUGAAGAAGCACUCCGGUGCGUAAAGCCCUGUCAGCAGGGAAGAAAAUGACAGUACCUGGACAAGAAGCCCCGGCUAACUCCGUGCCAGCAGCCGCGGUAAUACGGAGGAUGCGAGCGUUAUCCGGAUUUAUUGGGUUUAAAGGGUGCGCAGGCGGCGAGUUAAGUCAGCGGUAAAAUUGGGGGGCUCACCCCGGGCAAGCCGUUGAAACUGGCUUGCUAGAGUGGGCGAGAAGUAUGCGGAAUGCGUGGUGUAGCGGUGAAAUGCAUAGAUAUCACGCAGAACUCCGAUUGCGAAGGCAGCAUACCGGCGCCCAACUGACGCUCAGGCACGAAAGCGUGGGUAUCGAACAGGAUUAGAUACCCGUGUA